rnacentral:lncRNA from 10 species
UAUACUCAUGGGCCACUGCGGAGACCAGGAACACACCCAGCAUGGCUACCCCUCGGGCCCGGGCACCAAGGAGCUGGCAGGGUGAGGAAAGGAGUGAAGAGCACCCUAUCUUCCAGUGCAGGGCCUGCUGUGGCCAGAGCUUCAUUUGGUACCCACACGUUCGACAACCCAUUCUCCUUCCCCUUCUGUCUGGACUUCCUAAUACAGGCACAUCUUAUUUUACUGCACUUCCCAGAUAUUGCCUCUUUUACAAAUUGAAAGUUUGUGGCAACCCUGCAAGAGACAAGGCUAUCAGUGCCACUUUUUCCAACGGCAAGUGCUCACUUCAUGCCACUGUGUCACAUUUUGGCAAUUCCUGAAAUAUUUCUUUCUUCUUAUUAUUAUAUGUGGUAUGGUGCACAGGCAUAGAGCACACAGCCCAGGGCCUGGAGGGGGUGUGGGGAUACAUAACUGGAGAGGGACACUGGCAGCUGCCGGUGGCAUUGGACCUCUGGCCCAGCACUGGCCUCCUCUUCCCUUGGCACCACCCUCCCACUGCCUCCCCAGGCCUCCCAGAAACGUCCCCUCUCCACCACCAUGAGUCACAGGUCCACCCUUCUACCCCAACUUCUCACCUCGGCAAAAAUCACUGUGACCAGUGAUUUUUAAUGUUACAAUUGUAAUUGUUUUAGGGCAUCAUGAAAUACACCCAAAUAAGAGAGCAAACUUAACUGACAAAUUCUGUGUGUGUUCUGACUACUCUGCUGACCGGCCAUUCUCCCAUCUCUUCUGUUCUCCUCGAGCUUUCCUAUUCGCUGAGAUACAACGAUAUUGAAAUUAGGGGCCAGCCUCAAUGGCUCACUCCUGUAAUCCCAACACUUUGG